rnacentral:lncRNA from 1 species
UCUAAGGAUUCAUUUGGUUUAAUGAUUUUAAUCGGAACAAGACUAUUACUAUGCUAUUCUCCUGUAAUCCUUCUCCAGAUGAUAUUAAAAUAGAUCAAGAUUCCAACAAUCUGGAACAUGUCGUUCAGUUGGAAGCAGGAAGAUUAGUAACUGGGUUGCCUGUGUUCGCUAGUCCGGAAGUUAUAUAUAUUUUCAGUGGUACAGGCAGACAUUUGCUAGUGGACAGAAGAAAAUCUAAAAAGCUGAAUACGUUCUAUUCUUCACAUGAAGUGGGACUGCCUCUACGAUUUAAUGCCAAUUUUUCAGUUAUAGAUAGAAUAUCAGAAAAUCCUUUUUUUUUCAUCUACUACUAUCGAAUGAAAUAGCCUAAACUCUGACAUAUGUACGUCCAGAAAUAUGAAUAAUUAUAUUUAUCUAACUUGACACAGACACAAUUGCACGUCACUCUUUAUUAUUAAGGACAGUUGAUUGGAUAAAAGUGAUGGAUUGCCACGCCU